UACGUAGGAGGCUAGCGUUGUCCGGAAUCAUUGGGCGUAAAGCGCGUGUAGGCGGUCCGGUAAGUCCGCUGUGAAAGUCGGGGGCUCAACCCUCGAAAGCCGGUGGAUACUGUCGGGCUAGAGUACGGAAGAGGCGAGUGGAAUUCCUGGUGUAGCGGUGAAAUGCGCAGAUAUCAGGAGGAACACCAAUUGCGAAGGCAGCUCGCUGGGACGUUACUGACGCUGAGACGCGAAAGCGUGGGGAGCAAACAGG
rnacentral:rRNA from 1 species